rnacentral:rRNA from 1 species
GUGGGGAAUAUUGGACAAUGGGCGAAAGCCUGAUCCAGCCAUGCCACGUGUGUGAAGAAGGUCUUCGGAUUGUAAAGCACUUUAAGUUGGGAGGAAGGGCAGUAAGUUAAUACCUUGCUGUUUUGACGUUACCGACAGAAUAAGCACCGGCUAACUUCGUGCCAGCAGCCGCGGUAAUACGAAGGGUGCAAGCGUUAAUCGGAAUUACUGGGCGUAAAGCGCGCGUAGGUGGUUUUGUAAGUUGGAGGUGAAAUCCCCGGGCUCAACCUGGGAACUGCCUCCAAAACUGCAUGACUAGAGUACGGUAGAGGGUAGUGGAAUUUCCUGUGUAGCGGUGAAAUGCGUAGAUAUAGGAAGGAACACCAGUGGCGAAGGCGACUACCUGGACUGAUACUGACACUGAGGUGCGAAAGCGUGGGGAGCAAACAGGAUUAGAUACCCGGGUAGUCC